AAUUCCUAUUUUUCCCAUGCAAACCUUACCUACGGACCUCAAGUUUUUGAAAGAACAGCAAGCAGCUGUAAGUCCUGAAGAAAAGCAAAGCUGGAAACAGAAAGGAGCGACCUUACAGGAUGGAGUAUAUACUAGCAAUCUCAAAUUUUGUCUACCUAAAUGUAUGUAUCCGGCUGUGGUUCAGUGGGCCCACGGAGCAGCGCAUUUGUCUAAGACCCUCAUGAACUCUUUAAUUGCUAAAUAUUUCGAAGCACCAGGAAUUACCACUCUGACUAAAAUCUACUGUAAGUCUUGUGCUAUCUGUGCCAAGUGCAAUCCCGGAAAAUUAGAGAACGUUUU